GACGAACGCUGGCGGUGUGCUUAACACAUGCAAGUCGAACGGUAAGGCCCUUUCGGGGGUACACGAGUGGCGAACGGGUGAGUAACACGUGAGUAACCUGCCCUCAUCUCUGGGAUAACAGUCGGAAACGGUUGCUAAUACUGGAUAUGAGCCUGCAAGGCAUCUUGUGGGUUGGAAAGAUUUUUUGGUUGGGGGUGGACUCGCGGCCUAUCAGCUUGUUGGUGAGGUAGUGGCUCACCAAGGCUUCGACGGGUAGCCGGCCUGAAAGGGCGACCGGCCACAUUGGGACUGAGAUACGGCCCAAACUCCUACGGGAGGCAGCAGUGGGGAAUAUUGCACAAUGGACGGAAGUCUGAUGCAGCAACGCCGCGUGCGGGAUGACGGCCUUCGGGUUGUAAACCGCUUUCAAUUGUGACGAAGCUUUUUGUGACGGUAGCAGUAGAAGAAGCACCGGCUAACUACGUG
rnacentral:rRNA from 1 species